CUACGGGAGGCAGCAGGGGGGAAUUUUCCACAAUGGGCGAAAGCCUGAUGGAGCAAUACCGCGUGAGGGAUGAAGUAUCGUGGUACGUAAACCUCUUUUCUUGACGAAGAAGCUCUGACGGUAGUUAAGGAAUAAGCACCGGCUAACUCCGUGCCAGCAGCCGCGGUAAUACGGGGGGUGCAAGCGUUGUCCGGAAUGAUUGGGCGUAAAGCAUCUGUAGGUGGUUCUUAAAGUCGACUGUUAAAGCCCAGGGCUCAACUUUGGAUAAGCGGUCGAGUACUUAAGAACUUGAGUAUGGUAGGGGUAGAGGGAAUUCCUAGUGGAGCGGUGAAAUGCACAGAGAUUAGGAAGAACACCAAAGGCGAAGGCACUCUACUGGGCCAUGACUGACACUGAGAGAUGAAAGUCGGGGGAGCGAAAAGGAUUAGAUACCCUUGUAGUCCCGACCGUAAACGAUGGAUACUAAGUGCUGACAACAUCAGUGCCGUAGCAAACGCGUGAAGUAUCCCGCCUGGGGAGUAUGCUCGCAAGAGUGAAACUCAAAGGAAUUGACGG
rnacentral:rRNA from 1 species